UGAGGAAUAUUGGUCAAUGGGCGAGAGCCUGAACCAGCCCAGUAGCGUGCAGGAUGACGGCCCUAUGGGUUGUAAACUGCUUUUAUAUGGGAAUAAAGUGAGGGACGUGUCCCUUAUUGCAUGUACCAUUUGAAUAAGGACCGGCUAAUUCCGUGCCAGCAGCCGCGGUAAUACGGAAGGUUCGGGCGUUAUCCGGAUUUAUUGGGUUUAAAGGGAGCGUAGGCCGUUUGGUAAGCGUGUUGUGAAAUGUAGGAGCUCAACUUCUAGAUUGCAGCGCGAACUGUCAGACUUGAGUGCGCACAACGUAGGCGGAAUUCAUGGUGUAGCGGUGAAAUGAUUAGAUAUCAUGAAGAACUCCGAUUGCGAAGGCAGCUUACGGGAGCGCAACUGACGCUGAAGCUCGAAGGUGCGGGUAUCGAACAGG
rnacentral:rRNA from 1 species